UAGGAUUAAGAUGACAGUUGAGUGGCAGAGCAAAUACUUAGCAUUCUGGGGCUCUGGGUUUAACUGCCAGCACACCAUACAUACAUACACACACACACACACACACACACACACACACACACAUCUAUAACUCAAAGGGAGGGAAGACAUAUUUCUAGUUCAAAGAGACUGCCCAGCAAAUUUCAGUUGUUCAUAAUCUUCAUCCUAGUAAUGCCUUACAUAUUAUAUUCCUUACUAUGUAAUUAAGAACAAAGCUCUCUUGUU